UUCAAUGAUUCACCAACAACAGAGGCAACCUGGAAAGGACUUCUAAACAAUGACAUCUAUCAUAUCUGGAAUCAUGGCCCAAAGAUUGGUGGGGGCUUUGAUUGCCGGUAUUGCCGCCUAAAGAGUAGAGGAGGUGCAACCCGCUUUAGGGAGCACCUUGCUGGUAUACCAGGUGAUGUCAGGGAGUGCCCAAAUGUUCCAAGGAAUGUUCGUGCUGCAAUGAGGGAGUCCCGGGAUGUGACAAUGCUGAGGUCUGCCCGGCUUAGGAAAGUCAAGAAGGUCAAGAACGUCAGCAGCCUCUACAAAUAAGAUAGGUUAAGAAGCCUGGGAGCAAAGCUAUGUUGCUGUUUCAUGCAAGAUGCGUGUGAGUUCAUAUUCUCGUUUUGGGACAGUUGAAGAAUGUUUUGGGGCAGUGUAAGAACGUGAAGUCAAAAUGAGUUCAUGUUCUCGUUUUGGGGCCAGUAUGAUUGGACUUUGAAGUGCCCGGUUGUAGUAUAGAUUGUGAUUCUGAACUGUCUGUUAACUAGCCUAGCCUACUGUUGGACUAAUAUGUUGUGAUGGUUAAUAUCGGCUAUUGUUGAACUGUGGUUCUUAUGUUGUUAUUUUUGGGCACUGUUGAUCAAAUGCUCUUAUCUGAUGGAUAGAUUCUGCCGUA